CUCCGAGGCAGCACAGGGAAAAGAGGAGCUCACCGUAGGAUCUCACUUCCUCCUGCCUGAGACCUUCGAGGCAGCACAGGGAAAAGAGGGGCUCGCCGUAGCAUCUUACUUCCUCCGCCUGAGACCUCCGAGGCAGCACAAGGAGAAGAGGGGCUCGCCGUACGAUCUCGCUUUCUCCCGCUGCCUUGUUGGGGUGAGCCUGUCCUCACAGUCAACUGCAUUGGCUCAGUGUUCAUCCAAAGGAUUCCUCAGCCAAGAGGAUGAAGUUCAACAGAAGAACAUCCUCAAGUUAAUAAGAAGAUAGGGCCAACUAAAAGAAAAAAAGAAAGGAGGAAAAUGUGGAUAAAAUAGAAAGAGUGAAAAUAACAUUAAAGUUAAGUACCUGGAUCAUCGAAGUUUAAAACUCAAAUCUCUUUCACUCAUCUGUCAAAUCAGGUUAUUAAUACCUGUGGGGCAAAACUGCAGUGGGACGUCCUGAAGCAAAGCAUCAGCAUGUGCCUGUUCCACAGCAGACGCUUCAUAACAGGGUGGCUGUCAUUACCAAGGCAGACCGCAGACAGCUACAGCUUAAUCGAAGAGUUGAAAGGAGACUGUGAGAAGAUAAAACUGUGAAAACUGUGAAAUAUGGUUCAAUGAUUCAAAAGAGACCAAAUCACCAGUGUAAUCACUUAGGCCCCAGGAGAAAAAGGACACCAGUCACGUUGGAUGACCUCAUUUUAACUUGAUCAUAAAGACCUUAUCUCCUCAUAAGGUCACAUUCUGAGGUACUAGAUGCUAAGGAGUCAACACAUGAACAUCGCAGGGACACAAUUCAGCCCUAAACAAUGGCUCACCUCCUAUUUCUGGUGGACAGCACUGCAGUUGCCUACAAGUAAGCUUAGUGAACCUCGCCCUACGCGUUCUCCCACCAACCUUUGGAAAUAGCUGGCUCACUUCUGGGAGGCUCAGGCUGAAAGGACUCAUUUUGUCAAUUAAUUCUACAAAUCACUUCUGAGAGUCUAGUCUCUGCUAGAAUCUGGGCUGGAUUCUGAAAGUGAGCAAGUCCCAGUGUGAGCACGGCUCAGGGGUCAGACAGAUGCCGCCCCUUGUUAGCAGAGUGCUUACAGGCAAGUUGCCUUGGCACAGCAGCUUCAGACUUGUGUGAUGAGAAAACAGAGGCUUACCCUCCAAUGUGCAUGCCGGCGCCUUUGAAAGCGAUGGUCACACAGUAGCCACCUGCUUCCACCACUGCGAGCAGUGAGGUCCCUUUCACAGGUGGUGUUUAAGCAGAGGCUGGGUGAUCUCUUCUCAGGAAGGCUCUUCUGUAGUCACAGGGCCCACUGGAUAAUCCAGGGUCAUCUCUUCAUCUCAAGAUCUCUCAUCUCAUCUUCAGUCUCUUUAGUCAUAUAAGGUAACACUCACAGGUUCCAGGGAUUAGGAUCUGGAUAUCUUUGAGGACCAUUAUCCAGCCUACCACAGAGCCCCUAGGACUGGCCAGGCCAAUCUGCUCUUUCAAAAAUGGGGAAACUGAGGCAUAUAGCAUGUUGUGCUCAGCCAGUCUCUCAGGGAACUGGCUACAGGGCUGAUUCAUGGUGACCUGGGGCUGGGAGUUUGUGCCUGCCUCUGUAUGGGACAAGAGGGCACAAAGACCACCUCGAGGCAAUGGGGUGGGAGGAGACCACCUAAACUCUGCUUGGCCUUUGCUUCUGGGCCAUAGGGAGAGAGGCAGGGAAGUGCUUGGCCAGUGUCUAAGAGCUGCCUCCCUGGAGCCAAGCUGCAAUUCAGUGGUUUUCAAAUGUUUUGGUCUCAUUCUUAAAAAUCAUUGAGGACUCCAAAGAGCUUUUGUUUAUGUGGGUCAUACAUAGCUAUAAACAUUCACCAUAUUAGAAAUUAAAACUGAAAAAUGUAAAUAUAUAUACUAAUUCAUUUAAAAUAAAACAUAAACCUGUGCAUGUUAACAUGCAUAUUUUAAGGGAAAAAACCCCUAUAGUUUCUUUUUAAAUGUUACUUAUUUAAUUUUUAGAGAUGGGACCUCACUCUAUCACCCAGGCUGGAGUGUAGUGGUGCUAUCAUAGAUAACUGUAACCUUGAAUUCCUGGGCUCAGGUGAUUCUCCCACCUCCAUCUUCCAAGUAGCUAGGACUAUAGGCAUGUACCAUCAAACCCAUCUAAUUAAAAAAUAUAUAUAUAUAUAUUUUGUAGAGACAGUCUCGCUAUGUUGUCCAGGCCCAUUUCAAGUGAUCCUCCUGCCUUGGCCUUCCAAAGCUCUGGGAUUAUAAGAGUGAGACACCACACCAGCUUAAAAACAACUAUAUUUUCUAAAACAAAAAAUUUACUGAGAAGAAUGACUGUUUCACACUUUGGCAAGUCUUUUUAAUGUCUGGCUUAAUAAAAGAAGAAUUCUCCUGUCUGCUUCUGUUUUCAGUCUGUUGUGAUAUGUUGCAUUGAUUGAAGGAUAUAAAGAAAAUCUAGCUUCACCAAGAUAUAUAAUUGGAAAAGGGAGGAGUAUUAUAAUUGCCUUUUCAGGUAAUUGUGAAUAUUUAGUUUUGAUUGGUACAUCAGCAUUUGACAAAUGUCAGUUUCUUUUAAAAUUUCAAUGUGGAAUCUGAAAUCAUG
rnacentral:lncRNA from 1 species